GACGAACGCUGGCGGCGUGCUUAAUACAUGCAAGUCGAACGGAGCCCAACCAGUGGCAACACUGGAGAAGGCUGAGUGGCGAACGGGUGAGUAACACGUGAGGAACCUGCCCCGAAGACCGGGAUAAGCCGGGGAAACCUGGUCUAAUACCGGAUGUCCCCACUGAAUCACAUGGUUCAGUGAGGAAAUGGAUUCCGCUUCGGGAGGGUCUCGCGGCCUAUCAGCUUGUUGGUGAGGUAACGGCUCACCAAGGCGUCGACGGGUAGCUGGUCUGAGAGGACGAUCAGCCACACUGGGACUGAGACACGGCCC
rnacentral:rRNA from 1 species